rnacentral:rRNA from 1 species
AUGUAUCUGUUGGGAAAAUUCAGAUUACGGCCAGGGAGUGCACCUCCAGACCGGACACCAUGUCCGUCAAGGAUGAGUGCUCUGGAGCAGUCGAUUUGCAAGUAUGCAGAGGAACCUACGAAGAGUGUUGUACGCCCAGCACUUGGUUUGACUUUUGAUUCACUUGGUGAGGCAUAUGACUACUACAGUUUGCACAUCUGGGAGAUCGGUUUCGGAGUUAGAUAUGGUAAGAGUAGACUCAACGCCGAGAGGACAAUGUGCAUGCACGAAAUAGUCUGCGGUUGCUCGGUGAGUACUGAAUUUUGA